UUCCACAGCUACUGGUCUGCAGCUGUUGUGCUCUGUAGCAGUUGCAGUAUUCCAUCUGUGGGAAAGAAACUUGUUGACACUGUUCGUUACCCCUUUCUCGGCAACAGAAUGGGGUUUUCUGUGCGACAGACAAAU
rnacentral:snoRNA from 13 species